UCUUAAGGAUCAAAGGCUAAAUAAGCGACAUCCUGCCGCAACGCCUUUGUGACCCACAUCGUGUGGG
rfam:Bacillus galactosidilyticus strain PL133 scaffold000140, whole genome shotgun sequence.